AAUAGAUACCCCGGUAGUCCACGCCCUAAACGAUGCGAACUGGAUGUUGGGUUCAACUUGGAACCCAGUAUCGAAGCUAACGCGUUAAGUUCGCCGCCUGGGGAGUACGGUCGCAAGACUGAAACUCAAAGGAAUUGACGGGGGCCCGCACAAGCGGUGGAGUAUGUGGUUUAAUUCGAUGCAACGCGAAGAACCUUACCUGGUCUUGACAUCCACGGAACUUUCCAGAGAUGGAUUGGUGCCUUCGGGAACCGUGAGACAGGUGCUGCAUGGCUGUCGUCAGCUCGUGUCGUGAGAUGUUGGGUUAAGUCCCGCAACGAGCGCAACCCUUGUCCUUAGUUGCCAGCACGUAAUGGUGGGAACUCUAAGGAGACCGCCGGUGACAAACCGGAGGAAGGUGGGAUGACGUCAAGUCAUCAUGGCCCUUACGACCAGGGCUACACACGUACUACAAUGGUGGGGACAGAGGGCUGCAAUCCCGCGAGGGUGAGCCAAUCCCAGAAACCCCAUCUCAGUCCGGAUCGGAGUCUGCAACUCG
rnacentral:rRNA from 1 species